GAGAGCAGAGAGAGGGGGCUGAGUGAGCUCUCUCGGCAGCCAUUUUCCUUAAAACAGGACUCAAUGGCCUAUAUGGGUUUCCUUUGUUCCAAAAAGGGAUCUUUACACUUGGUUUCCUCAUCUCUUUACGGACUAUGAUAAAACGUAUGUUUGCUCCUUUUAAAGGAUUGGGAAGAUUGGAAGAGAAUAUAGCUACUGGAUGUAAUACCCUGUGACAUUUUGAGCCUUUUUUUUUUAUUUUUCUUGGAAUCCAUCUUUGUCUUAACUAGGUCAUGGCACACCCAUAUAAUAUGUGUAGAUGUUAAGUAAAAAGAAACCAAAUGUGAAUAAACUGUUUUAUGAGUUAAAAAGAUGUUGAAUUAGACAUGAAAACAGUUGAUAUUCAUGUAUGGCCUUUUAAGAAGUGACUAGCUAUAACAACAUGGCUCGUCUUGUUCCCUGACCUGCAACGGUGGAAACAACCAGAACCACGUUUAAGUUCGAGUCGUCCACUCGCCAUUUCUGAGACAAACGCGUCCACAGUGUAUACGACGGUCUGACCUUGCCUCAAGGGUAUAUCUGAAUAUAUAUAUACAUAGAAGCAUAUUCAGAUAGACAACUUUGUGUAGUAUUUAAAAGCACAAUCAAUCAAAAAAUCUAAUAGGAAACCGAUGGAGGAAAAAAAAAUCUCUCAUGGUGAAAAUAUUUACCUCAACACUUUGGUGAAAAGCAGUUAACAGGCCUAAACGCAGGGACAGGAGGAAAGUUUUCAGCCCCAUCUUCGGAUCCUCUAAUAAUGGCUUUAAUAAGGGGUGGGAAUGCGUCUCCUGGAAAGGAAGGGAUUCCAUUAGCACGACAGAUCUUUUUUAAAAAGUCAUUUUUCCCCCCCCUCUCAUCACUGGCAAGCAUACCCCAUCUGACAGCCAGCGAAUGUGCAUCUCCAAGCAUCAUCUGUGUGGGCAAUAUAUGCAAAACCAACUCUUCUCUUCCUCAAGACAGGAUUGCAGUCGAGUAUAACCUCGUCCAUUUUCGACAUUUCUAACUGAGCUACAACAUUUAAACCUACAAGGAUGUUAUUAAAAAAGGUAACUGAUUUUUUCUUAGCUAUUUACACCUAAUUUUCCUGAACGUAGACUUAAAAACCUGG